GGUCCAUUAGCUCAACUGAAUAGAGUACCACACUACGGAUGUGGGGGUUGCAGGUUUGAAUCCUGCAUGGAUCA
rnacentral:tRNA from 2 species